GUGUCAGCAGCCGCGGUAAUACAGAGGGUGCAAGCGUUAUUCGGAAUUAUUGGGCGUAAAGAGCGCGUAGGCGGUUUAGCAAGUCUAAUGUGAAAUCCCUGAACUCAAUUCAGGAAGUGCAUCGGAUACUGCUAGGCUUGAGUACAGGAGAGGAAGGCGGAAUUCCAGGUGUAGAGGUGAAAUUCGUAGAUAUCUGGAGGAACAACAGAGGCGAAGGCGGCCUUCUGGACUGUCACUGACGCUGAGGCGCGAAAGUGUGGGGAGCAAACAGGAUUAGAUACCCUGGUAGUCC
rnacentral:rRNA from 1 species